rnacentral:rRNA from 1 species
CUCGACCUUCGGGUCACAUGAGAGAGUGGCGAACGGGUGCGUAACACGUGAGAAACCUGCCCCAAAGACGGGAAUAGCCCGAGGAAACUCGGAUUAAUACCCGAUACCUCCACAAUGUCGCAUGGCAUUGUGAAGAAAGUUCAGGCGCUUUGGGAGGGUCUCGCGGCCUAUCAGCUUGUUGGUGAGGUAACGGCUCACCAAGGCAUCGACGGGUAGCUGGUCUGAGAGGACGAUCAGCCACACUGGGACUGAGACACGGCCCAGACUCCUACGGGAGGCAGCAGUAGGGAAUCUUGCGCAAUGGGCGAAAGCCUGACGCAGCAACGCCGCGUGGGGGAUGAAUGCCUUCGGGUUGUAAACCCCUUUCAGCAGGGACGAAAAUGACGGUACCUGCAGAAGAAGCUCCGGCCAACUACGUGCCAGCAGCCGCGGUAAUACGUAGGGAGCGAGCGUUGUCCGGAAUUAUUGGGCGUAAAGAGCUCGUAGGCGGUUCAGUAAGUCGGGUGUGAAAACUCAAGGCUCAACCUUGAGACGCCACUCGAUACUGCUGUGACUUGAGUCCGGUAGAGGAGUGUGGAAUUCCUGGUGUAGCGGUGAAAUGCGCAGAUAUCAGGAGGAACACCAGCGGCGAAGGCGGCACUCUGGGCCGG